rnacentral:rRNA from 1 species
AGAGUUUGAUCCUGGCUCAGAACGAACGCUGGCGGCAGGCUUAACACAUGCAAGUCGAGCGCCCAGCAAUGGGAGCGGCGGACGGGUGAAUAACGCGUGGGAAUAUGCCCUUUGGUACGGAACAACUCAGGGAAACUUGAGCUAAUACCGUAUGAGCCGGUAACGGGAAAGAUUUAUCGCCAAAGGAUUAGCCCGCGUCCGAUUAGCUAGUUGGUGAGGUAAUGGCUCACCAAGGCACCGAUCGGUAGCUGGUCUGAGAGGACGACCAGCCACACUGGGACUGAGACACGGCCCAGACUCCUACGGGAGGCAGCAGUGGGGAAUCUUGGACAAUGGAGGAAACUCUGAUCCAGCCAUGCCGCGUGAGUGAUGAAGGCCUUCGGGUUGUAAAACUCUUUCGGCGGGGACGAUAAUGACGGUACCCGCAGAAGAAGCUCCGGCUAACUUCGUGCCAGCAGCCGCGGUAAUACGAAGGGGGCUAGCGUUGUUCGGAAUUACUGGGCGUAAAGCGCGCGCAGGCGGCCUUUCAAGUCAGGGGUGAAAGCCCGGAGCUCAACUCCGGAAUUGCCUUUGAAACUGCAAGGCUCGAGUACGGGAGAGGUGAGUGGAAUUCCCAGUGUAGAGGUGAAAUUCGUAGAUAUUGGGAAGAACACCGGUGGCGAAGGCGGCUCACUGGCCCGUAACUGACGCUCAGGCGCGACAGCGUGGGGAUCAAACAGGAUUAGAUACCCUGGUAGUCCACGCCGUAAACGAUGAACGCUAGCCGUUGGCAAGCUUGCUUGUCAGUGGCGCAGCUAACGCAUUAAGCGUUCCGCCUGGGGAGUACGGCCGCAAGGUUGAAACUCAAGGAAUUGACGGGGGCCCGCACAAGCGGUGGAGCAUGUGGUUUAAUUCGACGCAACGCGCAGAACCUUACCAGGGUUUGACAUCCUGUGCUCGCCGGAGAGAUCCGGUUUCCCCGCAAGGGGCGCAGAGAC